rnacentral:rRNA from 1 species
GAUGAACGCUAGCGACAGGCUUAACACAUGCAAGUCGAGGGGCAUCGGGGUUGUAGCUUGCUAUAACUGCCGGCGACCGGCGCACGGGUGAGUAACACGUAUGCAACCUGCCCGUUGCAGGGGGAUAAGCGGAAGAAAUUCCGUCUAAUACCGCGUAAUAUGGAUAAGAGGCAUCUCUAAUUCAUUAAAGAUUUAUCGGCAACGGAUGGGCAUGCGGUGCAUUAGCUAGUUGGGGGGGUAACGGCCCACCAAGGCGACGAUGCAUAGGGGUUCUGAUAGGAAGGUCCCCCACACUGGUACUGAGACACGGACCAGACUCCUACGGGAGGCAGCAGUGAGGAAUAUUGGUCAAUGGGCGAGAGCCUGAACCAGCCAAGUCGCGUGAGGGAAGACGGUCCUACGGAUUGUAAACCUCUUUUGUCGGGGAGCAAGAGCUCUACGAGUAGAGUAGUGAGAGUACCCGAAAAAAAAGCAUCGGCUAACUCCGUGCCAGCCGCCGCGGUAAAAC